rnacentral:rRNA from 1 species
AGGGUGUAAACGCUGCAGACUUGGUGUUGGGAACCCUUCGGGGGUGCUCAGUGCCGGAGAGAAGUUGUUAAGUCUGCUACUUGGGGAGUACGUCCGCAAGGAUGAAACUUAAAGGAAUUGGCGGGGGAGCACCACAACGGGUGGAGCCUGCGGUUUAAUUGGACUCAACGCCGGGAAGCUCACCGGAUAAGACAGCGGAAUGAUUGCCGGGCUGAAGACUCUGCAUGACUAGCUGAGAGGAGGUGCAUGGCGUAGACGUCU